GUAAGAUCUAACUUCUCUCUUAUAUAACUCCUCAAACAAAAAAUUUCUCAGUUCCUCCAAAACCUAAAAUCUCCGCUGCGGCUCAGAAGAAGGAAACGAAAGGCUUUCUAGGGUUUUCUUCAUCAUGGUUCUCUCAAAUGAUAUCGAUCUGUUGAAUCCAAAACCUGAUUUGGAGAAGAGGAGGCACAAGCUUAAGCGUUUGGUUCAAUCCCAAACUCCUUCUUCAUGCCUGCCUGCCUGUCAACGAAACUGCUUCCCAUUCAGUUUGUAUGUAUUUGAGAAUAAUUUUGGAAACGCUUUAACUUGUUGGAUGUUUUUGAGAUGUCAAUGUUCCAAUUUGCUUGAUCACUUUAAUGGGAGGACAUCAUUUGCAGUCUAAGAGACACUCCCUAAUUGAUGUUGCGAUCAAAUGUGAACUCAGACUGUCUCGGAGACUUUUCGAUUUGUGAUGGGACAUUCUUUCCGUCUCUCCACGAUGAGAUGUCUGCAAUUGUGGGUUGUUUCAACCGGCGUGCACAGAACCUGCUACAAGUUCAUUUAUCUUCGGGUUUCAGAAAGUAUUUUACAUGGAUUAAGA